UAGGGAAUCUUCCGCAAUGGGUGAAAGCCUGACGGAGCAACGCCGCGUGAGUGAUGAAGGUCUUCGGAUCGUAAAACUCUGUUAUUAGGGAAGAACAAAUGUGUAAGUAACUAUGCACGUCUUGACGGUACCUAAUCAGAAAGCCACGGCUAACUACGUGCCAGCAGCCGCGGUAAUACGUAGGUGGCAAGCGUUAUCCGGAAUUAUUGGGCGUAAAGCGCGCGUAGGCGGUUUUUUAAGUCUGAUGUGAAAGCCCACGGCUCAACCGUGGAAGGGCAUUGGAAACUGGAAAACUUGAGUGCAGAAGAGGAAAGUGGAAUUCCAUGUGUAGCGGUGAAAUGCGCAGAGAUAUGGAGGAACACCAGUGGCGAAGGCGACUUUAUGGUCUGUAACUGACGCUGAUGUGCGAAAGCGUGGGGAUCAAACAGG
rnacentral:rRNA from 1 species